rnacentral:rRNA from 1 species
UACAGAGGGGGCAAGCGUUGUUCGGAAUUACUGGGCGUAAAGGGCGCGUAGGCGGCCCGCUAAGUCGAACGUGAAAUCCCCGGGCUCAACCCGGGAACUGCGUCCGAUACUGGUGGGCUCGAAUCCGGGAGAGGGAUGCGGAAUUCCAGGUGUAGCGGUGAAAUGCGUAGAUAUCAGGAAGAACACCCGUGGCGAAGGCGGUUCUCUGGGACGGUACUGACGCUGGAGACGCGAAAGCGUGGGGAGCGAACAGG